rnacentral:tRNA from 1 species
GUUUUAAUAGUUUAAAAUAAAAUAUUGAUCUUGUAAAUCAAAGAUAGAUAAUAUUACUUUAAAACA